AUUACUAAGCGGAGGAAAAGAAACUAACUAGGAUUCCCCUAGUAACGGCGAGUGAAGAGGGAAGAGCCCAGCGCUGAAUCCCCCGCCCUUGGGCGACGGGAACUGUGGCGUUUGGGACGUCCGCCGCGUCGGCGCGGUUCCGUCUGAGUCCCCCUGAUUGGGGCCUUGCCCGGUGCGGGUGUCAGGCCUCUGAGGCGGAGCCUGUCGGCGCUUUGGGCGUCCUCGGAGUCGGGUUGUUUGGGAAUGCAGCCCUAAGUUGGUGGUAAACUCCAUCGAAGGCUAAAUAUUCACGCGAGUCCGAUAGCAGACAAGUACCGUGAGGGAAAGUU
rnacentral:rRNA from 1 species